rnacentral:rRNA from 1 species
GAUGAACGCCGACAGAAUGCUUAACACAUGCAAGUCAUUGGCGAAGCUGCGCUUGCGCAGUUUAGCCAAGGCGGACGGGUGAGUAACGCGUAAGGAACUUGCCCUGCAGACAGGGAUAACAGACGGAAACGACUGAUAACACCUGGUAUUGUCAGGCUGGCGCAUGCCGGCCUGAUGAAAGGAGACGCUGCAGGAGAGCCUUGCGUCCUAUUAGCUAGUUGGUGGGGUAACGGCCCACCAAGGCGAUGAUAGGUAGCCGGCCUGAGAGGGUGAACGGCCACAAGGGGACUGAGAUACGGCCCUUACUCCUACGGGAGGCGGCAGUGGGGAAUAUUGGACAAUGGGGGCAACCCUGAUCCAGCAAUUCUGUGUGCACGAAGAAGGUUUUCGGAUUGUAAAGUGCUUUCAGCAGGGAAGAAGAAAGUGACGGUACCUGCAGAAGAAGCGACGGCUAAAUACGUG